CCCUUUGGGCUCCUCCCCGCGUUCGACGGUAAAAAAACGGACGCGUGUCGAUCAGCGCUCGGUAUGGCAUUUUUCCAAAAAGGCCCUUUCACUUUCUUAAAAUCAUCCAGCAGUCUAACUUAUCAGAUUGGAACAGUAAAAACUUUAUAUUAUUUUGCGUUUAGAUCCUUGUUGUAAAUCUUAUUUCAACAUAAAGAAGAGAAAAAUCGGAAUUCUUGUCAUUUUACAAAAAACUGCCCGCGUAUCGUUUUUCGGAAAACCCCCUCCCCAAUCCAAACCCUCACCCACUUCCAUCCCCCCCUCUCUCUCUCUUCUUCUUCCCUCUCCUCUCCCUGCCGCCGCCGCCGCCACUCUCCCUGCCCUCGUGCCUCUGCCUCCCCUCGCUAUCUAGCUCUCCGCCUGCCUACACCGCUGCCGCAUCGUCUCCCACGCCGCCUCGCCCAGCUCAGCCCCCCAGCCUUCGCCUCCCCGGCCCUCGCCUGCCCCUCCCACCCCGGCCCCUACCUCUGCCGGCACGCGGCUGUAGCCCGGCUACAGGGCAUCCCGCGCUAGAUCUGGCGGGGGCGUGCUCGGCGCGGCGGCCGGCGACCCCCCGGUGCGGAGGCCCUGGCCGGCCUCGGGCACGGCACCAAAGGUCCCCGGAGCGGAGGCCCUAGCCGGGCUCGGGCACGGCAUCGGAGAUCUCACGCGGGCGGGGGCAGGAGCUGCGAUGGCACGGCGACCGACUGCGGGAGUGGCGUGCGCCUGGAGGGAGCGGCGGCGGCUGGAGUCGCAGAGCUGCAGUCCCUCCCUUCGCUCUCAGAUCCGGCGAGGUCAUCCGCGUCUCCCGAUCCCCCUCUGGCCCUCCCUCCUUUUCUCUUCCGUAUCUGCAUCUAAACCCGACGGCUGACCAGCUCCUCCUCCGCUCCCGCCUCCGCGCGGAGUCAGGGAUGGGAUUCCUCUACAUGAGCCGCGGCAAGGAUUGGAUACUGCUCGCAUCCCACAAGCAACUCCAAUCAGUAGCCAUGCUUCGUGUCUCCUCUCUCUGAGCCAGCCAUGAUUGGUUGAGGAGGAGAAGGAUGCGGGCUGCGCCCGAUGCUUGUUGGACUCGACGCAAGCGGCGGCGGCGGCGUGGCUCGCAUGCCUGCAUGGGCACAUGGCGGCGUUCGUUUCUUACUGCUGCUUCGCGCGCGGAGAAUCCAAGCACUGAAGGCAGAAGAAUCCGCUGAACUGAUCCACUGCAACGCCUGCUUCACCGAUGCCUUCAUGUCCUAUUUGCUCACCUCCAAUCUGAUUCAAGUAAUGAAACUAGACCCGCACUCAGUAAGAUUUUGACUAUGCUGGUUUAAUCAGAUGGCCAUUGAUUCAUGUGUUACUUCUACAGAACAUAGUUUUUUUAGCAGUAGUGAUUUUGUGAAGUCCUGCAUUAUGUGACAUAUAUAGUUCAAUGGGAAUAACUUGGAAACCAUUUUUUAUGUAAACACAUUUCUGAUAUUUUAACUUAACAGGUAUAUUGCACUGACUGGCUUUUUUCAUGCUCCAUUUUGUUUGCAUUUGCAUCUGGUUAAAUAUAGUAAUUCCAUUUUGAUUAAAUCAAAAUGAGUUGUGAUGUCUUCUGUUCAAGUAACUGUUCAUAAAUAUGUUUGGUCUGACCACGGAGAACAAACAGAAGGCAUACAAUUAGGUAGCCAUUGAUUGUCCUAACCAGCAUGCACGUGCAUUAUAUCUUGCAAAAUAUAUUUGAGAUGCUUGCUUGACUUUUAGUUUGUUCAUUGUGGCCUCAUCUGUUCAUGUGUUUUGGUAUCUAUUUUGUCAUGUAACCUAGGACAGCCUCCAUUUAGAAUAUAAAACUUCAUAUUUUCCUUUUGUUGCAUUUUUGUGUCUUUUAAUUUAUUGUGACUGCAAUCUGUAUUCAAUGCCAUGUUGGGUUCCUACAUUUGUAUUCUUCCAUUUGCUAUCUCAUGCCUUAUUUAGGAGCUUCUCAUGAUUAUGGAUCUCUUUUAUUUAUGAUAAAUAAUGUGGAUCAUUCAUAAGAUUUCUGCCUCCAUUGUUAGGUAGUUAGAUUUUCAUUCCACAAUGGUUACAUUGGACACCUCACUAGCUUCCUUUGAAAGAAGAAGAGAAUUAUAUAUAGCCUGUGACUUGGCUAAUGUUUGAAAAAUGAAUAAAUGACUACAAUUAGCGAAGAAGGAAAACCAGUUGCUGUUUGAUAGUACGUCAGUAGCAAACAUAAAUAUAAAAUAUCAUCUAUCUGUUGUAAAACUGUUAUGCAUAACUCUUGCCAGUGCAUCAGUAUGACUACCUCUUUUUUUUGGCAUUUGCAUUAAAAUCUUGGAAGUCUGGAAACGUGGUUCCGGAUGCAAAUUAGUAAUUUAGUAGCCUGGUUAACUAGGCUGCUGGGUUCCAGAAAAUACUACGUAUUAUCAAAUCAUGGUAGCCAUAGUUUUCCUUUCUUUUCUUACAUCUGAACUAUUUCAAAAAUGUCUCACCAAACAGAAUAUCCUUCAGCUACACAUGUGCUAAUUCCUUCUUCCAUCAGUAGGAUAGCUAUGGAAGCAAUUGCACAGACACAAGAACGACAAGGUAAUGUGUUCUAGCACUACUUGUUUUAGAUCAACUGAACCUCUUGCAUCCCUAUGUCGAAAGUUGUCCUAUGUGCAGAAGGAUCCAUUGGUAGGAGCAAAAAGAAAAGAGUAAAGAUCAGUAUACACAACUAAACUGCUGCUUUGAUGGCUCCACAUUAACCUCUUGAACUCUUGCCCCACAGCUAGAAUACCUGGUGGUCAGAUACUCUGAUGAUCUCAAGUUAAAAGGCCCUGGGAUUAUAUAAGAAGAUAGUUAUGUGAAGGUUUUUAAUGUGUCCUAAAAGCUUAAUCAAGACUGCGGGGCAUUGACUGUCUCUUACGGUUAUACUACGAAUAUUACGCAUUCAUGUAGCACUUGCUUAUUGUCACGAUUGACCAUUAUAUGCAUUGUCAAGAAAUUAAUGUAUUUUUAUUGGCUUCUUUUUAA